rnacentral:rRNA from 1 species
GACGAACGCUGGCGGCGUGCUUAACACAUGCAAGUCGAACGGUGAAAGCGGAGCUUGCUCCGCUGGAUCAGUGGCGAACGGGUGAGUAACACGUGGGCAACCUGCCCCUCACUUCGGGAUAACUCCGGGAAACCGGGGCUAAUACCGGAUAUGACCUCCUUGGGCAUCCUUGGAGGUGGAAAGUUUUUCGGUGAGGGAUGGGCCCGCGGCCUAUCAGCUUGUUGGUGUGGUAGUGGCUCACCAAGGCGACGACGGGUAGCCGGCCUGAGAGGGCGACCGGCCACACUGGGACUGAGACACGGCCCAGACUCCUACGGGAGGCAGCAGUGGGGAAUAUUGCGCAAUGGGCGAAAGCCUGACGCAGCAACGCCGCGUGCGGGAUGACGGCCUUCGGGUUGUAAACCGCUUUCAGCAGGGAAGAAGCCGCAAGGUGACGGUACCUGCAGAAGAAGCACCGGCUAACUACGUGCCAGCAGCCGCCGCCG